rnacentral:lncRNA from 1 species
AGAGAGUGCAAAGGUUUGGGGCAUUUCACAGAUCUUCUCUGAACCUUAAAUUUUCAUGAUAUCCUCAAAAGAUGAUGCAUUCCUUGUUCUGGAAGGGAGGGGAGAACAUGCAAACCUCACACCAGGCUAAGCUGGCUUUCUGCUGAUUGAAUUCUGCAGACAUCAAUAGAGAUGCAUUUCACCAUCUGGAGCAGUUUCGGGGCGUUUUUCCCAAGGAAGACAGCAAAGAACUGGUGCAUCCCUUGAAGAGGGUUAAAGCGGAGCAGAGCCCAGUUACAGACGUGGAACUCAAUUCAGGUGUAAUCCACCUGGCAGGGAAAUUCCAGAGUAAUCUUUUGGAAGAAGUCGCUGCUGACUUGGGAAAGGCUGCAAUUCUGCGGCGCUGGGCAGAGCAAGGCCUCGGCAUCGGGCCACGUGCCACGGGCUGGAGAAAUGGAAAUUCUCAGUAAGUGAUGUCGUGAUGGGCUGGAAAACAGGUUAGCAGGAAAGAACACACGGAAAAACAGUGGGAUCCAGGAGGGCAGCAGAAGACAGGGCUUCAGACUGCGGAAGGGAGGCGGGUAUUGAGAGGAAAGGGUGAGCGAACACUGGGCUGCAUGCCAGCCCCAGAACUCACCCAUGAUACCAACUCCUUGAUAGAAGAUUUUCCUGGGUGCCUCCAGGGGGUGGGGCAGAAUCAGAGGGCGAAGCCCAGGACCAGACUAGAGAGACGGUGAGCAAGGUCGGAUGUAAGAGAUCAGCAGGCAACACAAAGGAUGGAGCAGGAGUGUGAGUGGUCUCGUGAUAAAGCCUGAGUCUAUGAGUGAUGGGUAAGGCGGAGGCAGGUGGAUAGCACACAGCGCAGUCAGAGGCGGGGCUGGAAUCCAAAGGCAGGUCUUACAGACACACCUGAAUGAAAUCCUCAACUUGGAUAUAUGACGGGUCUGUCAAACAAGGUCAGAAAGACAGAAGUGGGUCACAGAAAGACAGUAUGGCCCAAGAACAUUGGCUUAGAGCCCAGGCAGGAUUCCUUGGGGUAUAAUGGUCUUGUCACAGCUGCUCUUUAUCAC